UUAAAAAAUAAUAAAUCAUUUUAUUUUUUUCCUCAAAUUUAUAAAAAACAGUGUUUUUUUUAUUUUUCAACUUAUUUAUUCAAAGAUAAAAAUUAUGAAAAAAAUUAUAUUUUAUGAAUUCUUUUUAAAAAAUAUUCUUUUUAUGCUAUUCAGAUAAACAAAGCUAGCCGAACACGAGUGCUGUUGGGGUUUAUUCGUGUUCAACGAACGUGAGUUAGCUUGUUAAAAUAUCACACUAAAACUUGUUAAUAAAUAAGCCAAACAUGAGCUAUCUCACGAACAGUAAGUUAGAUUAUUAUCGCUACUGUUGGGAGAAAAUUUGAAAGAUUAAAAAAAUUUUUUUUUUUUGAGAAAAAGGUAGCAUGCUAUCCGCUUCGUUUAUUUCAUUUAGAAAUAAAUUUACCUGAAAAUAUGAAUCAACUAGGAUUCGAACUUGCAUCUCGGGUACCAACCACCAAGCCUUUUUGCCACUUGCACUAGGGACGGUCGGUUGAAAGAUUAAAAAGUUAGAAUUUUAAAAUAAUAAUUAAAAUUUAUAAAAAAUUAAAAUUUAAAAAUAUAAGGAGUGGAGCUAAAAAAUUAUUGAUAGUAUGUGAAUAUUAUUUACUAUCAAUUUUUUCAUCAUUAAAUGCUUAAGAAUUUUAUUGAGAAUUGGUGGAAUGGUAAUAAUUUAAUGAUAAAAAAAUUGAUAGUAAAUGAUAUUUAUAUAAU
rnacentral:lncRNA from 1 species